CUGGAGGUAUCAGAAGUGCGAAUGCUGACAUAAGUAACGAUAAAGCGGGUGAAAAGCCCGCUCGCCGGAAGACCAAGGGUUCCUGUCCAACGUUAAUCGGGGCAGGGUGAGUCGACCCCUAAGGCGAGGCCGAAAGGCGUAGUCGAUGGGAAACGGGUUAAUAUUCCCGUACUUGGUGUUACUGCGAAGGGGGGACGGAGAAGGCUAUGUUGGCCGGGCGACGGUUGUCCCGGUUUAAGCGUGUAGGUGUGUGUUCCAGGUAAAUCCGGUUCACUUUAACACUGAGGCGUGACGACGAGGCACUACGGUGCUGAAGCAACAAAUGCCCUGCUUCCAGGAAAAGC
rnacentral:rRNA from 1 species